GUGCUCACCUCAGCUGCACGUACCCUAAAACUGAAACGACACAGAGAACAUUGAGCACAGCCUCUGCCCAAGGAUGACCCGCAAAUUUGUGACGCAUGCCGAAUCUUU
rnacentral:snRNA from 1 species